UGCAGCUCCUGGCUCUGCCCCCUCUGCCUCUGACCUGCCUAACGUCUACUGACAUCAUCAGAAGUGGUGGUCUGAGCCAAUCACAAUGCUUCCACAUAGGAUUGGCUGAGAUUAUCAGUGAGGCAGAUCAGGGGCAGAGCCAGCACAAGUCAAACACAGCCCUGGCCAAUCAGCAUCUCCUCAUAGAGAUACAUUGAAUCAGUGAAUCUCUAUGAGGAAAGUUC